UACGAAGGGGGCUAGCGUUGCUCGGAAUCACUGGGCGUAAAGCGCACGUAGGCGGCUUUGUAAGUUAGAGGUGAAAGCCCGGGGCUCAACCCCGGAACUGCCUUUAAGACUGCAUCGCUUGAAUCCGGGAGAGGUGAGUGGAAUUCCGAGUGUAGAGGUGAAAUUCGUAGAUAUUCGCAAGAACACCAGUGGCGAAGGCGGCUUACUGGUCCGGUUCUGACGCUGAGGCGCGAAAGCGUGGGGAGCAAACAGG
rnacentral:rRNA from 1 species